GGUUCUACGCACUCGGUCCGAGCGGCCGGUCGGUGCCAAGCUACCAUCCGUGGGAUUAUGCCUGAACGCCUCUAAGGCCGUAUCCUCUCUAGUCAAAGGUGGCAAUGAUAUCUCUAGGAGUCUCGUGAGUCGAAAGUCUCAAAACAAUGUGACACUACUAGGCGGCCGGUUGCCCUUCGCGGGGCGGACCGAUUGUCGCACGAGCCCGGAUUACCGUACGGCGCCAUCGUCCGUCGUCGGGAUCUCACCGCCAACGACGGCGCGGCGUCUGACGGUCAAACAUGAGUUUCGCGAGUUCGAUGUCGGAAUCGUCUGAAGACGACUUAGGUACCUGGCGGGAUGUUGUACUCGGUAGAGCAGUUACCAUGCUGCGAUCUGUUGAGACUCAGCCGUCGGCUGAGGGGAUUCGU
rnacentral:ncRNA from 1 species